rnacentral:rRNA from 1 species
UACGUAGGGGGCAAGCGUUGUCCGGAUUUAUUGGGCGUAAAGAGCGUGUAGGCGGCUUUACAGGUCCGUUGUGAAAACUCGAGGCUCAACCUCGAGCUGUCGGUGGAAACCACAUGGCUAGAGUCCGGAAGAGGAGAGUGGAAUUCCUGGUGUAGCGGUGAAAUGCGCAGAUAUCAGGAAGAACACCAAUGGCGAAAGCAGCACUCUGGGACGUGACUGACGCUGAGACGCGAAAGCGUGGGGAGCAAACAGG